rnacentral:rRNA from 1 species
UCCAGACUCCUACGGGAGGCAGCAGUGGGGGAUAUUGCACAAUGGGGGGAACCCUGAUGCAGCGACGCCGCGUGAGUGAAGAAGUAUUUCGGUAUGUAAAGCUCUAUCAGCAGGGAAGAAAAACCGACCAUAGGGUCGCUAGACGGCACCUGAUUAAGAAGCCCCGGCUAACUACGUGCCAGCAGCCGCGGUAAUACGUAGGGGGCGAGCGUUAUCCGGAUUCACUGGGUGUAAAGGGAGCGUAGACGGCCGUGCAAGCCAGGAGUGAAAGCCCGGGGCCCAACCCCGGGACUGCUCUUGGAACUGUGCGGCUAGAGUGCGGGAGGGGCAGGCGGAAUUCCUGGUGUAGCGGUGAAAUGCGUAGAUAUCAGGAGGAACACCGGCGGCGAAGGCGGCCUGCUGGACCGCGACUGACGUUGAGGCUCGAAAGCGUGGGGAGCGAACAGGAUUAGAUACCCGAGUAGUU